GAUGAACGCUGGCGGCGUGCCUAAUACAUGCAAGUCGUACGAACAGCGGAAAGUGCUUGCACUUUCCAAGUAAGUGGCGAACGGGUGAGUAACACGUGAAUAACCUACCUCAAAGACUGGGAUAACCAUUGGAAACAGUGACUAAUACCGGAUAAAACCCAGUAGCACAUGCUACAAGGUUAAAAGCUGCGUUUGCAGCGCUUUAAGAUGGAUUCGCGGUGCAUUAGUUAGUUGGUGAGGUAAAGGCUCACCAAGACAAUGAUGCAUAGCCGAGUUGAGAGACUGACCGGCCACAUUGGGACUGAGACACGGCCCAAACUCCUACGGGAGGCUGCAGUAGGGAAUCUUCCACAAUGGGCGCAAGCCUGAUGGAGCAACGCCGCGUGUGUGAUGAAGGCUUUCGGGUCGUAAAGCACUGUUGUAUGGGAAGAACGGGUUUAAGAGGAAAUGCUUAAGCAGUGACGGUACCAUACCAGAAAGGGACGGCUAAAUACGUGCCAGCCGCCGCCGUAACAC
rnacentral:rRNA from 1 species